rnacentral:sRNA from 1 species
AUCAUAAACCACACGAAAUAUUACUUGUUGUGUUCACAUUGACCCCAUUAAAAAGCAAUAAUUUGAGUAAGUUAUGAAUAGCUGUUGAACACUUGUUUUGACAAUGUGAUAAUUUAAAAAAAAAUAAUCAACCAUCAAUCAUUUUAGAAAGCAGGUGCAAAUUUAUAUCCCAAUAUGAACGAUAAAUUUACGAAAUAUAUAUUUUUUAAAAUAAAGGGUUUUUUUGUUAAUCGUAUCACAAUAUAAAUGUUGUAAAAUCAUUGCUUAAAACUAAUAUUUAUAAUUUUAUAAUAAAUUAUAUCAUGGAAGAAGUGAUAUUAACCAAAUGUUAUGUAGGUCAUAUUGUUGGUAUAUCUGUAGCAAUUCCUUGUACAGAGUUUAUGGUGUAUUUAGCAAAGCACUCUGCACUUAUACCGAUAUGUAUGUUAACAGUGUCUUUUCGCACAUAUCUCACACAUAAAGAACUUAACUACGUUGAUCAGGUAUAUGCUUAAAAAAAAUCAGUAGGAAUAUUGUAUUUAAUUUAAAAUGAACUUCUAGACAUUUAUUGUACAGUAAGUCUGUUUGUUUGUUGUUGUUGUUGUUGGUUGUUUUGGGGCUUUUUGGGUUUUUUUUUUUUGCAUACCAUGAAAUACAUGAUACUUAUAUAAAUAGAUGUUGAAAAAAUUGUAGUGCUCUGCAGAUAAAACUCAAUAAAUUGAAAGUGAG